GCCGGGCAUAGUGGCGGGUGCCUGUAAUCCCAUCUACCUGGGAGGCUGAGGCAGAGAAUUGCUUGAACCCGGGAGGUGGAGGUUGCAGUGAGCCGAGACUGCGCCACUGCACUCCAGCCUGGGCGACAGAGCAAGAUUCUGUCUCAA
rnacentral:SRP_RNA from 1 species